rnacentral:rRNA from 1 species
CUGAGAGGAGCUUCGUGCUCCAGGGGGCUCCGGCCCCCGCCUCUCAACCCUGUGAAGAUAUUCCAAUAUACUCUUGUUGCCUUGGCGGGGGUUUAGGCCCCCGCCAGCAGCGCACCAAAACUCGUUCUAUCAAGUCGUCAGAGUAAAAACUAAAUAAGCAAAACUUUCAACAACGGAUCUCUUGGUUCUGGCAUCGAUGAAGAACGCAGCGAAAUGCGAUAAGUAAGGUGAAUUGCAGAAUUCAGUGAAUCAUCGAAUCUUUGAACGCACAUUGCGCCCUCUGGUAUUCCGGGGGGCAUGCCUGUCCGAGCGUCAUUGCAACCCUCAAGCGUAGCUUGGUAUUGGGCCUCGCCCCGCAAGGAGCGUGCCUGAAAAGUAGUGGGUGUCCGGUGUGACUUUGGGCGUAGUAAAUUUUCUCCCGCUCUGAAAGCCUCGCAUCGUGAUGCCCAGAACCCCCCAAUUCUCUCAAGAAUUGACCUCGGAUCAGUAGGGUUACCCGCUGA